GGACCCUUUCAGAGGCGCAGAGUUAUUGCCUUGCUGGGCAGGGAGUGGCUGACUCAUCCAAAAAGGUGUCACUGGCUCCGAGGGCCACCAUUCUUUGCGACUCCUUGGCAUGAAAAAUGGUGAUACUGCAGACCAGAGAAGUUAAGUAAUACCAGCUAACCUGGUCCCAGAGUUGGGAUUUACAUUCUCCUGCCAACAUCGUGUAUGGAGUUAACCAAGAAGUAACCCAGAAAGAGACCGAAGGGAGACGAUGACUCAGCAGGCAGUCCCGUCCCUCGGACAUAUAGACCUCUCUCCACUGCCCCAGGAGCCACACCCGGACAAAUUCCAUCCCCCGGCCAACCUUGCUCCUCCACCGCCUGGACACCAACAAGAUUAGACUUCAAGAAAAACCUCCUUAACCUACCUCCAGGUUUUCCUGAGUUUUAUGGACUGUGAUUUCCUUGCAAAGUAAAUGCUUCUUUAUCUCAGGGCAUGUGCUAUUCUUCUUCGUGAUAUAUAUGUUCUGUAGUUUUGCAGCUACUUAGAAUAGAAAUCUGCCAAAUUAACGAUCAGGGCUGUUGCAUGACUGAUGAUCACAAAGCUAAAUUGAGAGAGUCAUGAAAAAGGACUCUUAACCUGGUCCAGAAUGGCUCAGGAUGACUUCACGGCUUAUUUCACUUCUCACUUCUAGAUUGAAGUAUAAUUUCAAUAAAGAUGAUUCUGGGCAAUUACUGAGUCAGCCUCAUGUCGAGUUACUGAUUUUAUGACU